rnacentral:misc_RNA from 1 species
CCUUUCAAUGCAGCAGAAUUGGGAUGGUUGAGUAUCUCGCCUCUCCGUUCUGCCUGUAUUCUACCCUUGUUUGUCAUAUACUAUUAUUUCCUCGGCAGGCUUGCCUGCCGAGUGAAACCAUUUAUAACCUUUUUAAUUUUCAAUCAGCGUCUGAAAAAAAUUAAUAAUUACAACUUUCAACAACGGAUCUCUUGGUUCCGGCAUCGAUGAAGAACGCAGCGAAAUGCGAUAAGUAGUGUGAAUUGCAGAAUUCAGUGAAUCAUCGAAUCUUUGAACGCACAUUGCGCCCCUUGGUAUUCCAUGGGGCAUGCCUGUUCGAGCGUCAUUUGUACCUUCAAGCUUUGCUUGGUGUUGGGUGUUUGUCCCGCGGGACUCGCCUUAAAGUAAUUGGCAGCCAGUGUUUGGUUUUGAAGCGCAGCACAAGUCGCGAUUCAAGGCUACACGCCCGCUUCCACAAGCCUUUUUUCACUUUUGACCUCGGAUCAGGUAGGGAUACCCGCUGAACUUAAGCAUAUCAAUAAGCGGAGGAUCGCGAUCUUGGUCAUUUAGAGGAAGUAAAAGUCGUAACAAGGUCUCCGUUGGUGAACCAGCGGAGGGAUCAUUACAGAGUUGCAAAACUCCCACAAACCAUCGCGAAUCCUACCCGUACGGUUGCCUCGGCGCUGGCGGUCCGGAAGGCCCUCGGGCCCCCGGAUCCUCGGGUCUCCCGCUCGCGGGAGGCUGCCCGCCGGAGUGCCGAAACUAAACUCUUGAUAUCUUAUGUCUCUCUGAGUACACUUUUAAAUAAGUCA